CUUUAAAUGAAAAAGAAAUGGAGACAAUGGCUGGGGUGUUUUUUUUUUUGGGGGGGGGGGUUAAUUUCACCGAUUUUGGGGACAGAGGGUCAAUUUAACUUCAAAUGGAGUUUUCCUGGGAAAAGUGUUAUUUGCUCUCCAGGUGCUUUCCCACAUUCUCUCUCAGUAGCAGAUGGGGAAACUGAGGCAGAGAUCGGUGGAGCAGCUUUACCCAAUGUCACCCAGUGGCCAAGCCAGGAAUAGAACCCAGGUUGGUCCUGACUCACCUCAACAGGCCUCCAUAAGUAUGUAACACAUCAAAAUCCCAGUGGCUUCAAAUACUCCGCCGUCUGAUCUUCCUGUCUGGUGUCCUGCUGUGGCCAUCCUCUGAGGCUGUAGAGGAAGAUAAAAAAAAAUCCCAGCUAUAUCUGGCCAAUUGUGCGUUGGGGAAACAUUCCUUCCUGACCACGGCUGGUGGCCAGCUGAAGGCCUGAAGCAUGACAUUGGAUUGGAGUUAUUUUCUUAAUGCACCAGUUUAACCGUAUACAAACGGAUGGCACAACCCAACUGCCUAAAGUCAAGCACUUGUGUGAUGAUUCGGGGCAUUUUCUGGAGGCCCAACACAAACUGAAACGAAUCAGUGUCCCUUUCUCCGCGGCAUUGGCAGGGGGAAUGGAUGUUGCCAUCCUGCCAAUAUUUUCAAGAGGCUGAAAUUUCCUCUCAGCUCGAAUACGGACAAAAUAGUCAAGAGCACAAAAAAUAUUUGCAGACCAAAAAAGAUUUCUUUUUCUCCAUUUCAGACCAGUUGGAGUGUUUUGUUCCAAAACUUUUAAAAGGGUCAGUUUGGAUUUUGAAGUUCUUCUCGUCUUUAUGCUUUUGUCAUUCGCGUAGCUCAUGUAAAUUGGGUAAUGAAAAACUCACUUCAAAUGGGAAACCAUCUGGAUUUUUUUUGCUUGUUCUGAAAAAAAUGUCGAAACAAAAAACAUUUGGACAAUUCUUCCUCUACACUUUUUUGGAGCAGGAAAUUCUUUGAACCCGUCCCCUUUGUGUGAACAGUUUGGAAAUCGAGAAAUCAGUAUUUUUGGACCCCCAAAACCCCCUGGUGCAUUGAACAAUUCCUAAGCAGGUCUAUCUACCCCUCAUAGACUGCAGCCUUGUUCCCAAAGUGUCGAAGGAUACGUGUUGAAGGACGAGCGACAGAUCUCCACAAUGUUCUUCAGACACUGUGUGAUUUCGUUUUUGCGUCUUGAUAACCAGUGUGUGGGACUAGGAAAAAAAAAAUCAAGUCUCCAGACGUUAUAGUUACUGUGACACAGUGGGGUUUUAGUCACCCUGUUAUGUUGCAUGUGAGUCUUAUGGUCCUGUAUUAAUGCGGUGUGUGCCUCAGUUUCCCUGUGUAUUACACCAAUGCCUAGGUGGUGGGAAUUGGGUGUGUGAUUUAGGCUGAGGCCCUCGGGGGCAGGUGAGGCUGCUUAGCUGUCUGCACGUAUGUAACCUGAGACCCAGGAGGGGGAUGUGACCAGGUGACACCUUUUGCCCAGGAAGCAGGACAAAGACCAGGAGGAGGAGCAAUGGGGCUGUUGGGGGUUGGGUCGCUGGAAGCUGGGCAGUCUGCGGCUUGGGGCUGGAAGAGAGGGAGGCCAGGGCAGUCUGGGCCAAGACUCCCCAAGAUGGACGUGGCUGAAAGUCACUGAUUUCUGUGCUAACAAGUUCUGUUCUACACUGUGUUCCUGUCGCCUAAUAAACCUUCUGUUUUCCUGGCUGGCUGAGAGUCACGUCUGACUGUGGAAUUGCGGGGCAGGACCCUCUGGCUUCCCCAGGAGCCCGCCUGGGCAGACUCGUGGGAAGCGCACGGAGGGGCAGAGGAUGCUGAAUGCUCCGAGGUCAGGCCCAGGAAGGUGGAAGCCGGGUGAGCUUCUUGCCCUGGUGACAGUCUGCUCAGAGAGGAGGCUCCCCCAGAGUCCUGCCUGGCUUCGUAGGGAGCAGUUCCAGAGCCCCGGUGACUCUGUGACCGUUACAGAGAAAACCUUCAAAUUCUGCCCUGAGCAUCAGCAACGCUGCCUGAGUCUGCUCAGAGCCUGAGCCCAUUGCUAUGAGAGUGGGGAGCUGCCUCAAAUGUAACCCGUGCAGAGACCGUGACGCUGUACGACGGAAUCUGGGGAACGCUUGAGGAUAUUAUGAAUGUUAAUAUUGUAAAAUUGCAAUGAGUUGUGUCAGAUAUGUUAUGAUUUGCCAAAUAUGAUCAUCUCAUUUAUGUGUUUGUAUCACCUCUGUAUUAUGGCAGGUUGCAGAGGAGCAGCCAUGUUAGUCUGUAUCCGCAAAAAGAACAGGAGGACUUGUGGCAUCUUAGAGACUAACCAAUUUAUUUGAGCAUAAGCUUUCGUGAGCUACAGCUCACUUCAUUGGAUGCAUUCAGUGGAAAAUACAGUGGGGAGAUUUAUAUACACAGAGAACAUGAAACAAUGGGUGUUACCAUACACACUGUAAUGAGAGUGAUCAGGAAAGGUGAGUGACUACCAGCAGGAGAGCGGGGAGAAAAAACCCUUUUGUAGUGAUAAUCAAGGUGGGCCAUUUCCAGCAGUUGACAAGAACGUCUGAGGAACACGGGGGGGGGGGGAUAAACAUGGGGAAAUAGUUUUACUUUGUGUAAUGACCCAUCCACUCCCCCAGUCUCUAUUCAAGCCGAAGUUAAUUGUAUCCAGUUUGCAAAUUAAUUCCAGUUCAGCAGUCUCUCGUCGGAGUCUGUUUCUGAAGUUUUUUUGUCGGAGAAUUGCCACUUUUAGGUCUGUAAUCGCGUGACCAGAGAGAUUGAAGUGUUCUCCGACUGGUUUUUGAAUGUUAUAAUUCUUGACGUCUGAUUUGCGUCCAUUUAUCCUUUGGCGUAGAGACUGUCCAGUUUGACCAAUGCGCGUGGCAGAGGGGCACUGCUGGCACAGGAUGGCAUAUAUCACAUUGGUGGAUGUGCAGGUGAACGAGCCUCUGAUCGUGUGGCUGAUGUGAUUAGGCCCGAUGACGGUGUCCCCUGAAUAGAUAUGUGGACACAGUUGGCAAUGGGCUUUGUUGGAAGGAUUAUGAGAUAUAGAUAUGUCUGUAUUUCAAAACUUGUGCUAUGCUUCUGGGUGACACCCCCAGACAGUUUGGGUGUCAGCGCUGUCUAGCCUGCUGGAUGGCCCACUAAGGUCCAUCAGCGAUACAAUUGUCCCAUUGAGAGAAGGCAAGGGAUACACCUUAUGACUCAGCACGGCAUGUAGGGACAUGCCUAUGGAGAGAAAAGGCUUCCAAGCCAUGUGCCGGGCAGCUUGUGUUGGAAACAAAGGAAGCACAGGCCACGUGGCAACAGACUAUAAAAGGCAACUGCAUCGUCUCCAUUGUGUCUUCAGUCCUGCUUCUUACCUCUGGACGAAUCUUUCUACAAACUCUCUCCAAUUUGUCCACAUCCCUUCUGUAGUGGGGGGCCCAAAACUGGACGCAGUACUCCAGCUGUGACCUCACCAGUGAUGAGCAGAGGGGAAUAAUCACUUCCCUCCAUCUGCUGGCCAUGCUCCUACUCAUGCAGCCCAAGAUGCUGUUGGCCUUCUUGGCAACAAGGGCACACUGCUGACUCCUAGCCAGCUUCUCGUCCGCGGUAAUCCCCAGGUCCAUUUCUGCAGAACUGCUGCAUGACCCAUCCAAGCUGUGGAUAUGUUCCAGAGGGACUUUCAAGCCAGCAAACUCACCAAUACUGCUAGGAACCUGAUCUGUGGACUUUAAAUCUUGUAUGUAUGUGACUGUUUUACCAUUUGACAUCUCUCUGCUUAUCUUUUCUUGUUUCUUUAUAAUAAACCUUUCGUUUUAGACACUAAA